CUUUUAUCUAUUUCAGCAAGAGUUAAUCUGCACAGCCGUCACUGAAUCUAUAUUGGUAAGACAACAUGUUGCAUGGUUCUGAAAGGAUAUUCUAUAUUCCUUACUGCCUGCAGAAAAAGGGGACAAUAAACAGCAGAAACAAAUACUAUUUACACUAGACAAAAUGACAACACCACUCACUGGCGGAUGGGCUGGACUGCUUACCUAAUCCUAUACAUGCUGUGAGGUUAGCCACCCUCCACAAGGGAUCAUCUUCUCUCGGCUGUUGGUUAGUGACCCAGGGGUCAGAGGGUGGAGAGAUACCUGGAACGGCAUAAUUGCGUUGGACUUAGGUCAUUUUCUCCAUAUCUGUUUCCCCCUCUACUCUAGGCUGGACCUUAUACUGAAAGGUAGUGGUGGUAAGGCAUCAUCCUAGAAGCAGUCCCUUCUCCUGGCUGAUUGUUGUUGACUGAUUGCUCAUCAGAGCAGCUUUACAUAUAUUACCUUUACUCUUCUCAGGAACAUUUGCACAAAAAAAUAUUAAUGGAUUCUAUUUCUGAGUCUAGUCUGAAAGCCUAAAUUACUACAUCUUAUUUUUCAUCAGUAUCAGGCAAAUUUUAUGAUGAGAGUUUUAUUUUUAAACUCUUAGGGAGAAAUAAAUCACAACCCUGACAUCUGGAAGGGGAAGUGGUACAAAAGCAAAAGGUUGGACAAUCUGUACAUGUUUUCAUCACUUUAGUGGGGAUGUUUUUUUCUUUCUGGUAAUUAUUCCACCAGUACCAUUAUCCAAUCUGAGAUGUUGCUGCCAAUUUCUAGUAAUAAAGAGCAGGAAAUAGUCAUCCUAAGAUAAGAAAAAAAAGAUAAUCAAAAGCAGAAAGUUAAAAAGAUUUAUCUUAAUUCAUUUUCUCAUCAAAAUAUUCAGUAGCAAUUUUCAGGCACUCACCAUCCAAACACAAACCAAUUUAGGGUAGUCAUAAAUCUCCUCCGUGGCUUCCCACACUGUUGUUAAUUCUUAGAGUCCAUGUUUCUUUCUUGCUUUUAUAAUCCUUUCAGGACUGACUGUAUGAGAGAGAAAAAAGAAUCAUGCUUGUUCACGUUUUGGCAGAUUCUAAUGAUUCAUUUUAAUGAUUUUAGACAGAAAACUAGGUCAAUAGGUCUUGGUGUUUUCUAGAAUCUGGCAUUGUGUAGGUAUUGGCUGUAGGAAAUUGCUAAUUCCAUAGCAUUGACUGUAUAUUGUUAUACAAUUAUUUGUCUUGUAUCUGCCUUUCUUCCUUUCAGGGGUAGAAUCUAAACAGAAAAUAAAUUCUUGGAAAAGUAUCUUCCAGGCUUUCUGGAUUCCUUUUUUUUUUAGCACAGUUCUGUAAGUCAGAAGUUCAGCACAAUAUGCCUGGAAUAUCACAAAGCUGAAGAUGUUGAGUGGACUGAGUUCUUAUCUGGAUGCUCUGGGGGAAAAUCUGCUUCCAAGUUCAUUCUGUUGGUGGUGUUUAUAGGACUGAGGUCCCUGUUUCUUUGUUGGAUGUGACCUGGGGGUUGUGCUCAGCUCCAGAGAUAGCCUG
rnacentral:lncRNA from 1 species